CCUACGGGGGGCAGCAGUGGGGAAUAUUGCGCAAUGGGCGAAAGCCUGACGCAGCGACGCCGCGUGAGGGAUGAAGGCUUUCGGGUUGUAAACUUCUUUUGUCAGGGAAGAGUAGAAGACGGUACCUGACGAAUAAGCCACGGCUAACUACGUGCCAGCAGCCGCGGUAAUACGUAGGUGGCAAGCGUUGUCCGGAUUUACUGGGGGUAAAGGGCGGGUAGCCGGGUUGAAAAGUCAGAUGUGAAAUCCUGCGGCUUAACCGCAGAACUGCAUUUGAAACUGUUGAUCUUGAGUACUGGAGAGGCAGAUGGAAUUCCUAGUGUAGCGGUGAAAUGCGUAGAUAUUAGGAGGAACACCAGUGGCGAAGGCGGUCUGCUGGACAGCAACUGACGGUGAGGCGCGAAAGCGUGGGGAGCAAACAGGAUUAGAUACCCGUGUAGGUC
rnacentral:rRNA from 1 species